UCGUGCUCUGAGGCUCGACCGUCUCUCCUCCUCCUCCUCCUCCUGCAUCAUCUGCUCAGUGAUGUGAUGAACGGCUGCGGCCUUAAGGGACGAGUCAUGUGACCACACACAGGAAGUCAAUUAACAAAGACGGUUACGUAAGGCAAGAGCGGAGCCUGGCGGAGGUGUCCAUGUUGCCAUGGCGUCCUGUGUGACUGUGUACAAAGAUGGACGACAUGAAAGCUCCAUGAGCGACCCCUGGACCCUGAACUCUCUGACACUGCUUCACAAACACCAACUACACAACUCGUCAUCUCAACAGUUGGUCCUCGCUUCUCUGGAUGAACUGACUUCUCUCUCAACGGUCUGAAAUAACUGAAGUGAUGAGACACUACACUCGUCUGUCUGCUGCUUUCCACCGGAGGUUUCUCCAGAUUGCCUCCACUCCCACAAUGCAUCUGUGGUGACGGCCCCUCCGGUGGUCUUGGCAGAGGACUGUGGGAGUGUUGGCAGCAGAGCUUCACAGUUCAGACGCUUCGAUAUACAAUUAAAUCAAGAAUCUGCUGCAUUUCUACUAAAAAUAACCAAGUCUGUGACUCA